CCUACGGAGGCAGCAGUGGGGAAUAUUGGACAAUGGGCGCAGGCCUGAUCCAGCCAUGCCGCGUGAGUGAUGAAGGCCCUAGGGUUGUAAAGCUCUUUCACCGGAGAAGAUAAUGACGGUAUCCGGAGAAGAAGCCCCGGCUAACUUCGUGCCAGCAGCCGCGGUAAUACGAAGGGGGCUAGCGUUGUUCGGAAUUACUGGGCGUAAAGCGCACGUAGGCGGAUCGAUCAGUCAGGGGUGAAAUCCCAGGGCUCAACCCUGGAACUGCCUUUGAUACUGUCGAUCUGGAGUAUGGAAGAGGUGAG
rnacentral:rRNA from 1 species